rnacentral:rRNA from 1 species
UACGGAGGGGGCUAGCGUUGUUCGGAAUUACUGGGCGUAAAGCGCGCGUAGGCGGCUUAGCAAGUUAGAGGUGAAAGCCCGAAGCUCAACUUCGGAAUUGCCUUUAAAACUGCAAAGCUAGAAUCAUGGAGAGGUGAGUGGAAUUCCGAGUGUAGAGGUGAAAUUCGUAGAUAUUCGGAAGAACACCAGUGGCGAAGGCGACUCACUGGACAUGUAUUGACGCUGAGGUACGAAAGCGUGGGGAGCAAACAGG